AUUGAACGCUGGCGGCAUGCCUUACACAUGCAAGUCGAACGGCAGCACGGGUGCUUGCACCUGGUGGCGAGUGGCGAACGGGUGAGUAAUACAUCGGAAUGUACCUUAUCGAGGGGGAUAACGCAGCGAAAGAUGUGCUAAUACCGCAUACGCCCUGAGGGGGAAAGCGGGGGAUCGAAAGACCUCGCGCGAUUAGAGCGGCCGAUGCCUGAUUAGCUUGGUGGUGGGGUAGAAGCCCACCAAGGCGACGAUCAGUAGCUGGUCUGAGAGGACGAUCAGCCACACUGGGACUGAGACACGGCCCAGACUCCUACGGGAGGCAGCAGUGGGGAAUUUUGGACAAUGGGGGCAACCCUGAUCCAGCAAUGCCGCGUGAGUGAAGAAGGCCUUCGGGUUUUAAAGCUCUUUUGCCAGGGAAGAAACACCGGCUCUAACACAGUCCGGGAAUGACGGUACCUGAAGAAUAAGCACCGGCUAACUACGUGCCAGCCGCCGCCGUAA
rnacentral:rRNA from 1 species